GCCACCUUAGCUCAGCUGGUAGAGCACAUCUUUCGUAAAGAUGGGGUCCCCGGUUCGAUCCCGGGAGGUGGCU
rnacentral:tRNA from 1 species